CCCAAGAGAUCGGGAUAACACCUAGGAAACAGAUGCUAAUACCGGAUAACAACAGAUGAUGCCUAUCAACUGUUUAAAAGAUGGUUCUGCUAUCACUCUUGGAUGGACCUGCGGUGCAUUAGCUAGUUGGUAGGGUAACGGCCUACCAAGGCGAUGAUGCAUAGCCGAGUUGAGAGACUGAUCGGCCACAUUGGGACUGAGACACGGCCCAAACUCCUAAGGGAGGCAGCAGCA
rnacentral:rRNA from 1 species